UACGAACCGAGCGAACGUUGUUCGGAAUCACUGGGCUUAAAGGGCGCGUAGGCGGGCUGUCAAGUCUGGGGUGAAAUCCCGCGGCUCAACCGUGGAACUGCCUCAGAUACUGACGGUCUCGAGGGGGAUAGGGGCGAGCGGAACUAAUGGUGGAGCGGUGAAAUGCGUUGAUAUCAUUAGGAACUCCGGUGGCGAAGGCGGCUCGCUGGACCAUCACUGACGCUGAGGUGCGAAAGCUAGGGUAGCAAACGGG
rnacentral:rRNA from 1 species